CCUGAUCUCCCUGCUCUCUGCACAUACACACACUCUGCUGCCCUGUAUACAUAUUCUGUACCAUUCUCUAGCAUUGCAUAACUUUCACUAGGUGAUGUAUAUAUAUCCUCUCAUUACCAGGAGAUUCUGCAGGACCCGUGGCUUAAUAUUCUGUCCAAUACUGACCUGCCGAGUCCACCUAUGGAGCCAGAACAAGACCAUCUGGUUCCUCUUUCCACAGCUUGUCCAGUCAUAGGGGAAGAGCCUGAGAACAUCAGCAGGCAGGAGACACCAUCACCCCC